UACGGAAGGUGCAAGCGUUAAUCGGAAUUACUGGGCGUAAAGCGCGCGUAGGCGGCUUGGUAAGUCGGGCGUGAAAGCCCCGGGCUCAACUCUGGAACUGCCUUUGAUACUGGGUGUCUUGAGUAUGGAAGAGGUGAGUGGAAUUCCGAGUGUAGAGGUGAAAUUCGUAGAUAUUCGGAGGAACACCAGUGGCGAAGGCGACUUUUUGGCCUGUAACUGACGCUGAGGCGCGAAAGCGUGGGGAGCAAACAGG
rnacentral:rRNA from 1 species